rnacentral:lncRNA from 1 species
GGCCAGAAGCCAAAUACAACAGGACAAGGCCCUCCUGUGCAGCUCCUUUCCUUCUUGUCGCCAUAGUGAUGUUAAGAGCUUCUCACAUGUGCUCAGGAAGACACAUCAGAUGAAAAGAGGCUCUUCUCCAUCUCGCCAUCAGUUUUAAAAGUUCUUUCAAGGGCACCAGCAGGUCACCAAACCCUGUGCUCCAGCCAUUAAUAUUCCAAAGGGACAAGAUUGAUAUUCUCGAAAAGUCAUUUUUUUAGCAAAUAACCUGUAGCUGAAAGUAUCCACUUUCCUGGUCAGAGAGUUUCAUAUUCAGGACUGAAUGAUUUUUUUUUUCAUCUUCUUCUUCUUGGUUGAGAUCCUCAACUGGCAUAAAUCAGUGCAGGUCCUCUGAAGUCAAUGCGUAGAGCACCGUGUGCUUAGACUAGCUGAGGAUCCUGCCCAGCACACAGUAAAAUGGUUGUAAAGAGAUUCUCAACAAAUGAAGAAGAAAAAGAAACUCCUUGCACUUGCAAAUACACCAAAAUGGAAAAGAAGGCAUUGUCGGAAGUAUUUAAAUUAGAUUUUAGAAUAACAGCAAUGAAUAAUAGAUUGAUGCAAAGAUUAAAGAUUUCUUUUUAAACCCACUAAGAUUGUAGAAGCACUCCUGGUCUAUAGGUUAAUAAUGCAUUCAGUGCUCAUGGUGGCAAGGACUGAUUCUGCCUUCAUGUAGGGCCCAUUCCUAGGCUCAGAUUAUGAUACCUUUCCCGAAAGAAAUGGGGCAGUUUGUAGAGUAAAUUCUUACUGGAGAUGCACGUGGCGUAAUCUGGUCUCUAAACACAGGGGUGACUUGACUCAGUGGAGUAGCCCCAUCAAGGUCCAGCGUAAGUUAACUGGUGUGCAGGAUUUUGCAGAGGUGUAAAACUGUGGUCAGUCCACAAGGAUCACUGGAGCUUGGGGACCUGUUGGUUUCGGUUCUGCAUCCUUUAUUCUCAUCACAUAUUCUCUGCCUUGGAGAACAGCCUCACUAAAGUCAACGCAGUGAGAUACUGCUCACCGCAGUAUGGCACAGUCCAGCCAACAGAUGCUGGGAAUGGAGACCCUGCACUCACUGACCUAGAUCGCCAUCGCCUUCUGCACGGCACACCCACCUCGUCCCUCUUCUCAGGACCAUCGAUCCAGCAUAGGCUCCAGUUCGCUGCCCCGCUGGCCCCUCCAGCCUGUCUUCCUAAUUAUCCUCCGAGGCCUUCUGCCCAGCCCUCCGCUUGCUUGGUCUCACUGCGCAGGUAAGUUUUGCUGCCUGUGUUGCUCUUUGGGUUUCCCGUGGCGGGGCAUACUUGCUGCCCCGUCACACAGUUAUUUAGUACUUGCAUAACCAA